CGGACGGCUGAGUAACACGUGGGUGACCUGCCCUCGAACGGGGGGAUAACUGCCCGAAAGGGUGGCUAAUACCGCAAAUGUCGGUGCUUCGGUGUGCUGACUGAACCGUUUAGGGUUCGAGGAGGGGCCCGCGGCCGAUUAGCUUGCUGGUGGGGUAAUGGCCUACCAGGGCUGCGAUCGGUAGCUGGUCUGAGAGGAUGAUCAGCCAGACUGGGACUGCGAGACGGCCCAG
rnacentral:rRNA from 1 species